AACGAACGCUGGCGGCAGGCCUAACACAUGCAAGUCGAGCGCGCCCUUCGGGGUGAGCGGCGGACGGGUGAGUAACGCGUGGGAACGUGCCCUUUUCUACGGAAUAGCCUCGGGAAACUGAGAGUAAACCCGUAUACGCCCUUUGGGGGAAAGAUUUAUCGGAAAAGGAUCGGCCCGCGUUGGAUUAGGUAGUUGGUGGGGUAAUGGCCUACCAAGCCGACGAUCCAUAGCUGGUUUGAGAGGAUGAUCAGCCACACUGGGACUGAGACACGGCCCAGACUCCUACGGGAGGCAGCAGUGGGGAAUCUUAGACAAUGGGGGCAACCCUGAUCUAGCCAUGCCGCGUGAGUGAUGAAGGCCUUAGGGUUGUAAAGCUCUUUCAGCUGGGAAGAUAAUGACGGUACCAGCAGAAGAAGCCCCGGCUAACUCCGUG
rnacentral:rRNA from 1 species